rnacentral:rRNA from 1 species
GACGAACGCUGGCGGCGUGCUUAACACAUGCAAGUCGAACGGAAAGGCCCUGCUUUUGUGGGGUGCUCGAGUGGCGAACGGGUGAGUAACACGUGAGUAACCUGCCCUUGACUUUGGGAUAACUUCAGGAAACUGGGGCUAAUACCGGAUAGGAGCUCCUGCUGCAUGGUGGGGGUUGGAAAGUUUCGGCGGUUGGGGAUGGACUCGCGGCUUAUCAGCUUGUUGGUGGGGUAGUGGCUUACCAAGGCUUUGACGGGUAGCCGGCCUGAGAGGGUGACCGGCCACAUUGGGACGGAGAUACGGCCCAGACUCCUAGGGGGGGCAGCAGGGGGGAAAAUUGCAAAAUGGGCGGAAGCCUGAUGCAGCAACGCCGGGGGGGGGAUGGCGGCCUUGGGGUUGGAACCCGCUUUCGCCUGUGACGAAGGGGGGGGGGCGGUAAUGGGUAAAGGAGCACCGGCUAACUACGU